GACGAACGCUGGCGGCGUGCUUAACACAUGCAGGUCGAGCGGUAAGGCCCUUUCGGGGGUACGACGAGCGGCGAACGGGUGAGUAACACGUGGGUGACCUGCCCUCAGCUCUGGGAUAAGCCUGGGAAACCGGGUCUAAUACUGGAUAUGACUCCAUGACGCAUGUUGUGGGGUGGAAAGCCUUGUGCGGCUGAGGAUGGGCCCGCGGCCUAUCAGCUUGUUGGUGGGGUGAUGGCCUACCAAGGCGACGACGGUAGCCGGCCUGAGAGGGCGACCGGCCACACUGGGACUGAGACACGGCCCAGACUCCUACGGGA
rnacentral:rRNA from 1 species